rnacentral:rRNA from 1 species
CAGCAGCCGCGGUAAUACGUAGGGUGCGAGCGUUGCCCGGAUUUAUUGGGCGUAAAGGGCGCGUAGGCGGUCACGCACGUCCGUUGUGAAAUCGCUCGGCUCAACUGGGCGGGGUCAGCGGAUACGGCGUGGCUGGAGCAAGCUAGGGGGCAAUGGAAUUCCCGGUGUAGUGGUGGAAUGCGUAGAUAUCGGGAGGAACACCAGUGGCGAAGGCGGUUGCCUGGAGCUUUGCUGACGCUGAUGCGCGAAAGCGUGGGGAGCGAUCCGGAUUAGAUACCCGGGUAGUCCACGCCGUAAACGAUGCUGACUAGGUGUCGGGGGUAUCGACCCCCUCGGCGCCGCAGCUAACGUAUUAAGUCCGCCCCCUGGGGACUCCCGCCGCUAGGCUAAAACUCAAAGGAAUUGACGG